rnacentral:rRNA from 1 species
AUUGAACGCUGGCGGCAUGCUUUACACAUGCAAGUCGAACGGCAGCGCGGGCUUCGGCCUGGCGGCGAGUGGCGAACGGGUGAGUAAUGCAUCGGAACGUGCCCAGUAGUGGGGGAUAGCCCGGCGAAAGCCGGAUUAAUACCGCAUACGACCUGAGGGUGAAAGCGGGGGACCGAAAGGCCUCGCGCUAUCGGAGCGGCCGAUGUCGGAUUAGCUAGUUGGUGGGGUAAAGGCUUACCAAGGCGACGAUCCGUAGCUGGUCUGAGAGGCCGACCAGCCACACUGGGACUGAGACACGGCCCAGACGCCUACGGGAGGCAGCAGUGGGGAAUUUUGGACAAUGGGGGCAACCCUGAUCCAGCCAUGCCGCGUGCGGGAAGAAGGCCUUCGGGUUGUAAGCCGCUUUUGUUCGGGAAGAAAUCCUCUGGGCUAAUACCCCGGGGGGAUGACGGUACCGGAAGAAUAAGCGCCGGCUAACUACGUG